rnacentral:lncRNA from 1 species
AAGACCUUUUCUUUGCAGAAUGUAUUGUACAGCCUUGCAGUGUAACUCAGACUGUGGGACUACAGAGUGUUGAAGCAAGCAAAUGAAAGUGUUUGCCCUUUCUGGGCAAGGAAUUGAAAUGUCUACUGCACAUCCAUGCUGUCAACAUUCUGCACAGAGAUCAAGAGAGGAAAUUGUUUGCAUAGUGGUUCUUGUACCAGAGAAGAGUUAAGCUCCGCUCAGCAAAGUCAGCAGAACCAAAUAAGCAGUAUCACUGAGACCAGGGUGAAAGAAGAAACACUUGUCCUUUUCAUCUGCUCUGUGACUCUUACUCAUGUAUCCUGUGAACUCCAUUCUUAACCUCUCCUAAUCACACUUUUUGUGCUAAACUUGAGGAGGAAUUAUAAAGAAAUAAUAGGAAGUGUACAACGCUGGUGCACAUGGCUUAUUCAAAAUGUAAAAAAUGUAAAUCAAAAACUUAUUUCUCUAUUUGUUAUUAUCUCAUAAUGAAGGAGAGAACAUCAUAAGUCUUAUCUUCCAGCUUAAUGGAAAGUGUUCUGGCUGGGAGUAGAUGAAAAUAUAAUUACCAAUUUCCCUAAAUUUCACAAAGCUGUAAAAUUUGAAAGUUAGCAAUGUAGUGGUAAUCCUAGCAUUACUUCACAAAGACAGCUGUGGUUUUGUAUCCUCGUUUGAGAAAAAAUUUUGCACAAGAAUUUUUUUCUUUUUUUCUAUCUCAAUCUGUAUAUUUCAUGAGUCAAAAAUCAAUAUUAUGUUCACUGCAUAAGGAAAUUAUUGUGACACAGGAUACAGUUACAGUAGCAAAACAGAUAUUAUCUUUUAUUAAACAAUAUCUGCUGUUUUUCUUGCCUUAUCAGUGCUUGAAUGAUGAAGAAGGAAGUUUCC